GACAGAGGAUGCAAGCGUUAUCCGGAAUGAUUGGGCGUAAAGCGUCUGUAGGUGGCUUUUCAAGUCCGCCGUCAAAUCCCAGGGCUCAACCCUGGACAGGCGGUGGAAACUACCAAGCUGGAGUACGGUAGGGGCAGAGGGAAUUUCCGGUGGAGCGGUGAAAUGCAUUGAGAUCGGAAAGAACACCAACGGCGAAAACAGGUUGCUGGGAGUGUGCUGACGCUGAGACACGAAAGCCAGGGGAGCAAACGGG
rnacentral:rRNA from 1 species